ensembl:misc_RNA Y_RNA Y RNA
UGGUUGUCCAAAGGUAGUGAGUUAUUUCAAUUGAUCAUUCACUGUCAGUUACAGAUUCAUCUCUCCUUGUUCUACUCUUCUCCCCCCCCCCAUUACAUUUGACUAGUGUUAA